rnacentral:ncRNA from 1 species
AGACGACGAGGUUGAUAGGUUCGAGGUGGAAGUGCGGCAACGUAUGCAGCUGACGAAUACUAAUCGGUCGAGGGCUUAACCUA